rnacentral:lncRNA from 1 species
ACGCAGAGUCCUUCUGUCGGUUGGUCCUGGAGCGGCGCAGCCGGAGUGGGGCCGUGAGGCUGGAAUGCAGUGACAUCAUCUCAGAGCUGACUGCAACCUCUGCCUCCUGGAUUCAAGCAAUUCUCCUGCCUCAGCCUCCCGAGUAGCUAGGAUUACAGGCGGAUGCCACCAUGCCCGGCUAAUUUUUGUAUUUUUGGAAGAGAUGGGUUUUCACCAUAUUCGCCAAGCUAGUCUUGAACUCCUGACCUCAAGUGAUCCACUCUCCUCGGCCUCCCAAAGUGCUAGGAUUACAGGCCACUGUGCCUGGCCAAGAGGUCACUUUUCAUGUCCAGGCUGCAUGGAGAAUAAAGGCAGCCCCGUUGAUGACUGAAAAUGACAAAGCAUCCACCUAACAGACGAGGAAUCAGCUUUGAAGUGGGAGCCCAGUUGGAAGCCCGGGACCGUUUAAAAAACUGGUAUCCAGCUCACAUAGAAGACAUUGACUACGAGGAAGGAAAAGUACUCAUCCAUUUCAAGCGUUGGAACCAUCGUUAUGAUGAGUGGUUCUGCUGGGACAGUCCUUAUUUACGCCCUUUAGAGAAAAUACAGCUGAGGAAAGAGGGCUUGCAUGAAGAGGAUGGAUCUUCUAGACGUUUUCUUGCUCUGUCGCCCAGUCUGAAGUGCAGUGGUGCAGUCUUGGCUUAAUGUAGCCUUGACCUCUUGGGCUCAAGCAAUCCUCCUUCCUCAGCCUCCUGAGUACCUGGGACUAUAGGAAUUUCAAAUAAAUGAGCAGGUCCUUGCUUGCUGGUCUGAUUGUCGUUUUUACCCGGCCAAAGUCACUGCUGUUAACAAG